rnacentral:sRNA from 14 species
ACUGGUCUUCAGGCAAGGGUAUAUGAGUAGUUGUGCUCCCCUGCUAGAACUUCCAAACAAGCUAUCAAGGUCAAUUGUAGAAAACUAGGGUAGUAAAGC